rnacentral:rRNA from 1 species
AUACGGGGGGUGCAAGCGUUAUUCGGAAUUACUGGGCGUAAAGAGCGCGUAGGCGGUUUUUUAAGUCAGGUGUGAAAGCCCGGGGCUUAACCCCGGAAGUGCACUUGAAACUAAAAAACUUGAGUAUGGGAGAGGGAAGUGGAAUUCCUGUGUAGCGGUGAAAUGCGUAGAUAUCAGGAGGAACACCGGUGGCGAAGGCGACUUCCUGGACCAAUACUGACGCUGAGGCGCGAAGGCGUGGGGAGCAAACAGGAUUAGAAACCCUAGUAGUCC